AUCUUCUUAAUGCAUGGAAAUAACAGAAACAAACAAAAAGGCAGAUUAAAGCAAGCUGGCCCCUGGAAAACUAAACUUGCCUAAGAAUAUAAGACACAUAUAACCCGAACAUCAAAUGACAGAAAUGCAUUUUAGCAGUGGACCAUGUCUCAUUAAGGAAAAACUUCAUGUUUAGUCCGACAAUGAAAUAUCAGCCAGUCUCAAGUCCUGCACAAUGACUGCUGCAUACAGAACCCAUGGAUUUUUCAGCAAUACAAAGGUCUAUGAAGAUACUCAGUGAGGUGCACCUCAAAAAUGUCGUAACUGAAGACUGGCAAGACUCAUGGUCUCUUUCCGGAAAUACAAUAAUCCUAUGAACUAAGCACAGGGAAAAUACCCUCCAUUAACUCAGGGAUACAUGUCUCAUAUUCAUUACUCUUUCCUUACUUACGAGUGAAGUCAGCUGGUUCACAGUGCCUAUGCUCAUUGACAAAGAUGCAAACCAGAUGUGAAUAUAUCCACUACAUGUGUUACAAAACUCUGUACUGACUGCAAUUCAAAUUGGGUUACCAGUACUCUGAAUUAUCUGAGUAAUACAGAAAGAAUGGCUUUAGGUACAUAUCAAAAGUUACUGAUUGCCUCCCUAGCUGCUUCUUCACCUCCUGAGUACUAUAAUACUACCAUCCUCUGAUGCAGAGUCAGCAGGAUAGCUCAGAAAAUGAUCAGGACAGAAACAAUGUAGUUUCUCCAGAUGGGCAACUCCUUAGUUUUGAAGAAAAUAAAAAAAUAAAUAAUAUAAGGCAACAUAAUUUUUUUCUAUAAAACUGCUACAUGGCAAUUACAAGAGUGCAAAGGUGCAGGCAGGCUCAACAAUCUUG